rnacentral:rRNA from 1 species
NUUGGAGAGNNNGAUCCUGGCUCAGGACGAACGCNGGCGGCGUGCNNAACACAUGCUAGUCGAACGGAGAACUUUCUUCGGAAGGUUCUUAGUGGCGNACGGGUGAGUAACGCGUAGGCAACCUNCCUNUCUGUUGGGGACAACAUUCCGAAAGGGAUGCUAAUACCGAAUGAGAUCCUUUUUCCGCAUGGAGAGAGGAUGAAAGAUGGCCUCUACUUGUAANUAUCGCAGAAGAUGGGCCUGCGUCUGAUUAGCUAGUAGGUGAGGUAACGGCUCACCUAGGCGAUGAUCAGUAGCCGGUNUGAGAGGAUGAACGGCCACAUUGGGACUGAGACACGGCCACNACUCCUACGGGAGGCAGCAGUGGGGAAUCUUCCGCAAUGGACGAAAGUCUGACGGAGCAACGCCGCGUGAGUGAUGAAGGCCUUCGGGUUGUAAAACUCUGUUGUCAGGGACGAAAGCACCGAUCUAUAAUACAUUUUGGUGUUGACGGUACCUNACGAGGAAGCCACGGCUAACUACGUGCCAGCAGCCGCGGUAAUACGUAGGUGGCCAGCGUUGUCCGGAAUUAUUGGGCGUAAAGAGCAUGUAGGCGGCNNUUAANGUCCGACGUGAAAAUGCGGGGCUCAACCCCGUAUGGCGUUGGAUACGGAAGUCNUNGAGUGCAGGAGAGGAAAGGGGAAUUCCCAGUGUAGCGGUGAAAUGCGUAGAUAUUGGGAGGAACACCAGUGGCGAAGGCGCCUUUCUGGACUGUGUCUGACGCUGAGAUGCGAAAGCCAGGGUAGCAAACGGGAUUAGAUACCCCGGUAGUCCANGCCGUAAACGAUGGGUACUAGGUGUAGGAGGNAUCGACCCCNNCUGUGCCGGAGNGAACGCAAUAAGUACCCCGCCUGGGGAGUACGAUCGCAAGAUUGAAACUCAAAGGAAUUGACGGGGGCCGCACAAGCGGUGGAGUAUGUGGUUUAAUUCGACGCAACGCGAAGAACCUUACCAAGGCUUGACAUUGAGUGAAAGACCCAGAGAUGGGNCCCCUUCUUCGGAAGCACGAAAACAGGUGGUGCAUGGCUGUCGUCAGCUCGUGUCGUGAGAUGUUGGGUUAAGUCCCGCAACGAGCGCAACCCUNAUCCUAUGUUACCAGCACGUAAUGGUGGGGACUCAUAGGAGACUGCCAGGGAUAACCUNGAGGAAGGCGGGGAUGACGUCAAGUCAUCAUGCCCCUUAUGUCUUGGGCUACACACGUACUACAAUGGUCGGCACAAAGGGCAGCGAAGCGCGAGGCGGAGCCAAUCCCAGAAACCCGACCCCAGUUCGGAUCGCAGGCUGCAACCCGCCUGCGUGAAGUUGGAAUCGCUAGUAAUCGCAGGUCAGCAUACUGCGGUGAAUACGUUCCCGGGCCUUGUACACACCGCCCGUCACACCACGAAAGUUGGUAACACCCGAAGCCGGUGAGAUAACCUUUUAGGAGUCAGCUGUCUAAGGUGGGGCCGA